rnacentral:rRNA from 1 species
GACGAACGCUGGCGGCGUGCUUAACACAUGCAAGUCGAACGGAAAGGCCCUGCUUUUGUGGGGUGCUCGAGUGGCGAUCGGGUGCGUAACACGUGAGUAACCUGCCCUAGACUUUGGGAUAACUUCAGGAAACUGGGGCUAAUACCGGAUAGGAGCUCCUGCUGCAUGGUGGGCGUUGGAACGUUUCGGCGGUUGGGGAUGGACUCGCGGCUUAUCAGCUUGCUGGUGGGGUAGUGGCUUACCAAGGCUUUGACGGGUAGCCGGCCUGGGAGGGUGACCGGCCACAUUGGGACUGAGAUACGGCCCAGACUCCUACGUGAGGCAGCAGUGGGGAAUAUUGCACAAUGGGCGGAAGCCUGAUGCAGCAACGCCGCGUGCGGGAUGACGGCCUGCGGGUUGUAAACCGCUUUCGCCUGUGACGAAGCGUGAGUGACGGUAAUGGGUAAAGAAGCACCGGCUAACUACGUG